rnacentral:lncRNA from 1 species
GGACUUCGCCAGAUCAGACCCACGGGGCUGCCCUCCCCUGCGCACUCCCCUCGCUGCCCGGGCCCGGAGCGCAGCGCGGCCGCACAGAUUCACAAUGUUGAAAGCCCUUUUCCUAACUAUGCUGACUCUGGCGCUGGUCAAGUCACAGGACACCGAAGAAACCAUCACGUACACGGUAAGGGGUGAUGGAAUUUGAAAUAAGUACGGUUCAGCGGGAUUCUGUGACAAAAAAAGACUUUACACACCCCUGCCAGUGUAUUUGGGCUAUACUCUGCUGAGGGUGAUAAAUUAAACAACACUUCAUUCAUGCUUCAUAUCUAAGAUUCGUUGUAAAUUGCCCCCUUGAUCCUUUCAAAAGUUCAUUGGGCUCACCACCUAAGAUAGGAACCAACAUGUAAUCAUUUGUGCAGGGCUAAAAAUGGGAUCCGUUCAAAAACUAAAACCAAAGAAAGUUACAUGUUUCCAAAACAUUCAACAAAUUAAUGGGUGUAAGGAACUGGAAAACCUGGACUCCUACCACAUGCAGAUAAAACCAAUACGUGCAGAAUAAGACUCAAGUCAAGUAAGAACGUUAAACACCAUAAAGAC